UACGUAGGGUCCAAGCGUUGUCCGGAAUUAUUGGGCGUAAAGAGCUCGUAGGUGGCGUGUCGCGUCUGAUGUGAAAGCCCGGGGCUUAACUCCGGGUCUGCAUUAGGUACGGGCAUGCUGGAGUUCGGUAGGGGAGACUGGAAUUCCUGGUGUAGCGGUGAAAUGCGCAGAUAUCAGGAGGAACACCGGUGGCGAAGGCGGGUCUCUGGGCCGAUACUGACACUGAGGAGCGAAAGCGUGGGGAGCGAACAGG
rnacentral:rRNA from 1 species